AUUGAACGCUGGCGGCAGGCCUAACACAUGCAAGUCGAGCGGAUGAAGGGAGCUUGCUCCUGGAUUCAGCGGCGGACGGGUGAGUAAUGCCUAGGAAUCUGCCUGGUAGUGGGGGAUAACGUCCGGAAACGGGCGCUAAUACCGCAUACGUCCUGAGGGAGAAAGUGGGGGAUCUUCGGACCUCACGCUAUCAGAUGAGCCUAGGUCGGAUUAGCUAGUUGGUGGGGUGAAGGCCUACCAAGGCGACGAUCCGUAACUGGUCUGAGAGGAUGAUCAGUCACACUGGAACUGGAACGCGGUCCAGACUACUCCGGGAGGCAACGUUGGGGAGAGUAGGACAAGGGGCGAAAGCCUGGUCCGGACAAGCAGCGUGUAGGAAGAAGGUCUUGGAAUAUUAAAGGACUUUAAGUUGGGAAAAGGGGCAAUAAGUUAAUACCUUGCUGUUUUGACGUUACCAACAGAAUAGGCACCGGCUAACUUCGUG
rnacentral:rRNA from 1 species